UACGAAGGGGGCUAGCGUUGUUCGGAUUUACUGGGCGUAAAGCGCACGUAGGCGGGUCGUUAAGUCAGGGGUGAAAUCCCGGAGCUCAACUCCGGAACUGCCUCUGAUACUGGCGACCUUGAGGCUGGAAGAGGUUAGUGGAAUUCCCAGUGUAGAGGUGAAAUUCGUAGAUAUUGGGAAGAACACCAGUGGCGAAGGCGGCUAACUGGUCCAGAUCUGACGCUGAGGUGCGAAAGCGUGGGGAGCAAACAGG
rnacentral:rRNA from 1 species